rnacentral:rRNA from 1 species
AUAUUGGACAAUGGGGGAAACCCUGAUCCAGCCAUGCCGCGUGGGUGAAGAAGGCCUUAGGGUUGUAAACCCCUUUCAGCGGGGAAGAUAAUGACGGUACCCGCAGAAGAAGUCCCGGCUAACUCCGUGCCAGCAGCCGCGGUAAUACGGAGGGGACUAGCGUUGUUCGGAAUUACUGGGCGUAAAGCGCGCGUAGGCGGAUUUGCAAGUCGGGGGUGAAAGCCCGAGGCUCAACCUCGGAACUGCCUUCGAUACUGCAAAUCUCGAGUCCGAGAGAGGUGAGUGGAAUUCCUAGUGUAGAGGUGAAAUUCGUAGAUAUUAGGAAGAACACCAGUGGCGAAGGCGGCUCACUGGCUCGGUACUGACGCUGAGGCGCGAAAGCGUGGGGAGCAAACAGG